GAAGAAGCUCGUGACGUGAGUCGGAGUGAAACAGCCUUUAGUGCAGAUCUUGGUGGUAGUGGCAAAUAUUCAAAUGCGAACUUUGAAGACUGAAGUGGAGAAAGGUUCCGUGUGAACAGUA
rfam:Albugo candida, Ac Nc2, WGS project CAIX01000000 data, contig: AcNc2_CONTIG_5201_length_121